GACGAACGCUGGCGGCGUGCUUAACACAUGCAAGUCGAACGGAAAGGCCCUGCUUUUGUGGGGUGCUCGAGUGGCGAACGGGUGAGUAACACGUUAGUAACCUGCCCUUGACUUUGGGAUAACUUCAGGAAACUGGGGCUAAUACCGGAUAGGCGCUCCUGCUGCAUGGUGGGGGUUGGAAAGUUUCGGCGGUUGGGGAUGGACUCGCGGCUUAUCAGCUUGUUGGUGGGGUAGUGGCUUACCAAGGCUUUGACGGGUAGCCGGCCUGAGAGGGUGACCGGCCACAUUGGGACUGAGAUAAGGCCCAGACUCCUACGGGAGGCAGCAGUGGGGAAUAUUGCACAAUGGGCGGAAGCCUGAUGCAGCAACGCCGCGUGCGGGAUGACGGCCUUCGGGUUGUAAACCGAUUUCGCCUGUGACGAAGCGUGAGUGACGGUAAUGGGUAAAGAAGCACCGGCUAACUACGUG
rnacentral:rRNA from 1 species